rnacentral:rRNA from 1 species
UGACGGUACCCUACUAGAAAGGAGCCGCUAACUUCGUGCCAGAAGCGUCGGUAAUACGGGGGCUCCAAGCGCUAUCCGGUGUUAUUGGGCGUAAAGAGUCGUGUAGGUGGUUGGGUAAGUUAUCUUUCAAAUAUCUUUGCUUAACAAAGAGGAGGGGGAUAAUACUGCUCGACUAGAAUUUUCUCAAGGGAGAUCGGAACUGAGGGAGGAGUAGUGAAAUGCGUUGAUACCCUCGGGAACACCAGUGGCGUAGGCGGAUCUCUGGGAGAAGAUUGACACUGAGACACGAAAGCUAGGGGAGCGAAGCAGAUUAGAGACCUGCGUAGUCCUAGCCGUAAACGCAUGCUUGCUAGCUGCAUGAAUCUACCUUCGGGUGGUAUCGUGUGGCGAAGGUAACCCGUUAAGCAAGCCGCCUGGAAAGUACGGCCGCAAGGCUGAAAUUCAAAGGAAUUGGCGGGGAGGCACACAACCAGUGGAACAUGUGGUUUAAUUCGAGACUAACCGAAGAACCUCACCAGGGUUUGACAUGUAGCUGCACGUCUUAAGAAAUUAAGACUCUCUUGAAGGUGCUACACAGGUGCUGCAUGGCUGUCGUCAGCUCGUUCCGUGAGGAGUGCCCUUAAGUGGGACAACGAGCGCAACCCCUAUUACAUGUUAGAAAUGUCAUGUAAGACUGCCUUGCCAUUUGGCGGGGAGGAAGGAGGGGCAGACGUCAAGUCCGCAUGGUCCUUAUGCCCUGGGCUACACACAUGUUACAAUGAGUACGGCAAUGAGUCUGUCGCGAGCACGUAAGUGUAAGCUAAUCUCUUAAAUGUACUCUCAGUGGGGAUUGAGGUCUGCAACUCGACCUCAUGAACACGGAAUUGGUAGUAAUCGCGGGUCAGCUAUACCGCGGUGAUACGUUCUUGCCUCUUGCACACACCGCCCGUCAAACCGGCAAAGUCGAUUGUAUCCGAACCU